rnacentral:rRNA from 1 species
AACGAACGCUGGCGGCAUGCCUAACACAUGCAAGUCGAACGAGACCUCCGGGUCUAGUGGCGCACGGGUGCGUAACGCGUGGGAACUUGCCCUUAGGUUCGGUAUAACUCCCCGAAAGGGGUGCUAAUACCGGAUAAUGUCUUCGGACCAAAGAUCUCUCGCCUUUGGAUGGGCCCGCGUUGGAUUAGCUAGUUGGUAGGGUAAAAGCCUACCAAGGCCACGAUCCAUAGCUGGUCUGAGAGGAUGAUCAGCCACACUGGGACUGAGACACGGCCCAGACUCCGACGGGAGGCAGCGGUAGGGAAUAUUAGGCGAUGGGCGAAAGCCUGAUCCAGCAAUGCCGCGUGAGUGAUGAAGGCCUUAGGGUUGUAAAGCUCUUUUACCCGGGAUGAUAAUGACAGUACCGGGAGAAUAAGCUCCGGCUAACUCCGUG